rfam:Tribolium castaneum strain Georgia GA2 linkage group LG6, whole genome shotgun sequence.
CGUUGACGGGCUUGAAAUCUUGCUCUCCCGUGAUUAUUUCGUAAAGGGUGAGCAAAGUUUCAGGUGUGUCAAAGG